GACGAACGCUGGCGGCGUGCCUAAUACAUGCAAGUCGAACGAGAGCGACCGGUGCUUGCACUGGUCAAUCUAGUGGCGAACGGGUGAGUAACACGUGGGUAACCUGCCCAUCAGAGGGGGAUAACAUUCGGAAACGGAUGCUAAAACCGCAUAGGUCCUUUAACCGCAUGGUUGAAGGAGGAAAAGAGGCGCAAGCUUCUGCUGAUGGAUGGACCCGCGGUGCAUUAGCUAGUUGGUGAGGUAACGGCUCACCAAGGCCGUGAUGCAUAGCCGACCUGAGAGGGUGAUCGGCCACAUUGGGACUGAGACACGGCCCAAACUCCUACGGGAGGCAGCAGUAGGGAAUCUUCCGCAAUGGACGCAAGUCUGACGGAGCAACGCCGCGUGAGUGAAGAAGGUUUUCGGAUCGUAAAACUCUGUUGUUAGAGAAGAACAAGUGCUAGAGUAACUGUUAGCGCCUUGACGGUAUCUAACCAGAAAGCCACGGCUAACUACGU
rnacentral:rRNA from 1 species